UGGGUUUAGAGGAAAAAUGAGAUUAGAGUCUCUCAGGGACUUUGGGUAUGGGUGAGCAGAGGACUACCUUGGAUUUCUAGCCCGAGAGACCUGAGAGCCUGUGAUUUUCUAUGAGGUUGCAGUGGGAGCUGCCCAGAAAGAAAGAACUCUCCGGAUUACUUCAAAAAACCACUCCGGGGAAACGAAGGAGCACCUGGAAACCACUUGGCCCCACUGGCCAACUCCAUUAUCUUUGAGUUCCUUCAGAGCCCAGCACAAUCAAUCUGUUGUACUGAUGCUGGUGGAUAGAAGCAAGAGGAGACCAGCAGGAUCCUCUUUCUCGGUGACAUUUUAGCGCCCACCCCCAAGCUAGCUAAGGGACACCGAAGAGGACACUCCAUCCUAUUGACAGCUCCACGUUUAGUAUGCUAAUCUAUUCAUCUGAAAAGUUAUGUUUACAGUGAUACAUGGGUGGAAAGAUAGAGGAAGAGAGAUGAUAGAUUAUUGUAUGGCAAGGCACCCUAUUAAAUGCGGGACCUUGAACUGCAUCUCUUUCCCUAGCCUUUGAAUUCAGGAGUGGUGAUAUCUGCCUUAGAGUUCUCCCAAACAGUCACAUCCCUCUCAUAGGGCUACCUCAAGUUGGAGAACCACCAGAAACACAGUUUGAAACCCAUCUGCCAUGUACUGAUGGCAUAAAUAAAGGAAAUUCUAUUGUUAAA